GUUCCGUUGUGGUCUCUAAUAGUGGCUGGAGCCUGGAGGAAGCUUUGCGUGUGUCAAGUAGCCAUUAUUUGGACGUCGUAUUUAGCGUAACCCUAUGGCGGCAGCGUCCCUUACUACUGUCAGGAUUCUGUUAAGAUAUGGAGAAAGACAGGCCAAGGGAAGAGGAGGAAGAGGUAGGGGAAGAUAGGAAG
rnacentral:lncRNA from 1 species